rnacentral:lncRNA from 1 species
ACAAGAAGGCUGCAGAGGUGAGGGACGGGUGUGGAGAAAGAUGGACGCUUGCCAUCUCGAGCGCCAGCGGCUGCACGAGGCCAGACCCCACGAACAAAACCCACGGCAGAUCUCUGGCAACCCAUGUUAGGAGGCAGAAGACAGUUGGCAGCGAUGCGGCACAGAGGGCAGCCUGGGAGCGGGCGGAUGUAGCCAAGGCCAGCACGGAACAGUUCCAGGAACCCGGAACAGGACCCUGGACUCGACAGAGUGCAGUAAUCUAUGGCGUAGACAAUCUGCUGUUUCUACAACUGAUAUUUUGUCUUGUGACAUUUCUCAAGCUUGCAUUGGAAGCAGGAUGGCCCUGCAAAGGAUAAUAUCUUCGGUGAGGUCGGAGGAGAGACAGCAAGCACAGUCACUCGGAGUUUUGAUGUGAAGUUGACACAGGCUGAGAAAGAAGAGCCAAGAAGCCACGUCGCCUGGAGUAAACCCAGCUCUUAUCUGCCAGACCCAAGGGGGGAAUCUCAGAUUCCCCAGCUCCUGCCCAGCUCCUGCCCAGCUCCUGCCCAGCUCCUGCCCAGCUCCUGCCCAGCUCCUGCCCAGCUCCUGUGGGGCUAAAGUUCACUUAGAGCUGCAGGCCACAAGCCCAGGCCAUCCCAAGCAGGCCUCAUGACAAUGUAUAUGUUUCUGAGAAAUCCUCUUUUGGGGAGAGCAGGACUUAGCCUGCAUAGACUAGGGAUCCCCUGAUAGGCAAGGAAACAGCAGCCAGUCACUUGUAGGUUAGGUCCCAGGAGCGUCCAGUCCCCAUGCUGGCCCUGCUCAAGUUCCAGGAAGGGACUUUCACCCAGAAAUAGCUAAGGACUAUGACAACCUUCCCAACACACUUGUUUAUGAUUUGACUUAAUUAUUUUUCUAUUUAUCUCUAUUUCUGAAUCUCUCCCUUUGGGUUUCCUGAGCUGGAUGCCCUCUCCUUUUUGGGCAGGAUGCAUGGCCACCAUGGCUGCAGAUGCAUCGUAAGGAACCCUCAGAGGUGGUGGGAUUCUGCAACUGGGGGAGCCUGGAGCCUGGGGGUGCUCCACCAGCUCAGCCACACAUGUGGUUGUUCCACCCACUCAGCCCCCACCUUGUUCCAACCGGAGCCUGACGUCUCCCCAACCACAUCUGACCAUGUCACUCCUCCAAGACCUCACCCAGAUCCCUACCACCACCUGGCCCUCUGACAAAAGGGGAUGGGCUGGCAUUGUCCAUCUAGCCUAGGCUACAUUUCUCAGUCUUCUUCCCCCGGGUUUCCAGCCUGGACCAUGUGGGAAAGUCCCAUGGAGCCGGAAGAAGAUGUUCUUCUAUAGUCCCUGCCUCUGUACUGCUGCAUUCCACUUUGGUGACUUUUUGGCUUCUCGGAGUCAGGCUACCAUCCUUAUGAGGUCACGGGCACAACUAUGAAGUACCUCCCACCUGUGCUUCGGGGCCAGCCCUCCCUCAUAGAUGCCUCUCUCAUGCACUGCGACUCCAUCACUGACCACACAGCAGGAUCUGGAUGCCCAGACCUACUGUGCGCAGUGCCUGCCACACACCCAUGACAGUGUUGCAGUUGGGUAUGAAGUGUCCUCGAGAAGGGCCCUGUGUUGUAGGCUUGCCUUCCAACCCAGCAGCAUUCAGAGAUGGAGCCUCUGGGAGGUGACCUGUCACCAAGGCUGAUGCAGAAUCAGGAAGCAGUGGGAAGCAGGAAGUGGGAAGCAGGAAGUUGGAAGCAGGAAGUGGGACGUGGAUGGAGGAAGUAUGGAACUGGAAGCACGGCUUUCCCCCUGCUGGCUCCUCUCGUCUCCCUCUGCCUCUUGCACCCUGAGAAAUAAGCACCUUUUCUCUGCCUCACAGUCCUGGCAGGAUUCUCUGUCAGACUCCUCGUGCCCACAGACCGCAGACCAGAGCCUCAAAAACCAUGAGCCAAAAUAAAUCUUUUUAAUUUU